rnacentral:rRNA from 1 species
CCUACGGGUGGCAGCAGUGGGGAAUAUUGGGCAAUGGGCGCAAGCCUGACCCAGCAACGCCGCGUGAGGGAAGAAGGCUUUCGGGUUGUAAACUUCUUUUCUCAGGGACGAAGAAAGUGACGGUACCUGAGGAAUAAGCCACGGCUAACUACGUGACAGCCGCCGCGGUAAUACGUAGGUGGCAAGCGUUAUCCGGAUUUACUGGGUGUAAGGGGCGUGUAGGCGGGGGCGCAAGUCAGAGGGGAAAGCUCAGGGCUCAACCCUGGGGCUGCAUUGGAAACUGUGGUUCUUGAGUGCUGGAGAGGCAAGCGGAAUUCCGUGUGUAGCGGUGAAAUGCGUAGAUAUAAGGAGGAACACCAGUGGCGAAGGCGGAUUGCUGGACAGUAACUGACGCUGAGGCGCGAAAGCGUGGGGAGCAAACAGGAUUAGAUACCCCGGUAGUC